rnacentral:rRNA from 1 species
GCAGUCGACGGUAGCACAGAGGAGCUUGCUCCUUGGGUGACGAGUGGCGGACGGGUGAGUAAUGUCUGGGAAACUGCCCGAUGGAGGGGGAUAACUACUGGAAACGGUAGCUAAUACCGCAUAACGUCGCAAGACCAAAGAGGGGGACCUUCGGGCCUCUUGCCAUCGGAUGUGCCCAGAUGGGAUUAGCUAGUAGGUGGGGUAACGGCUCACCUAGGCGACGAUCCCUAGCUGGUCUGAGAGGAUGACCAGCCACACUGGAACUGAGACACGGUCCAGACUCCUACGGGAGGCAGCAGUGGGGAAUAUUGCACAAUGGGCGCAAGCCUGAUGCAGCCAUGCCACGUGUAUGAAGAAGGCCUUCGGGUUGUAAAGUACUUUCAGCGAGGAGGAAGGCAUUAAGGUUAAUAACCUUAGUGAUUGACGUUACUCGCAGAAGAAGCACCGGCUAACUCCGUGCCAGCAGCCGCGGUAAUACGGAGGGUGCAAGCGUUAAUCGGAAUUACUGGGCGUAAAGCGCACGCAGGCGGUCUGUCAAGUCGGAUGUGAAAUCCCCGGGCUCAACCUGGGAACUGCAUCCGAAACUGGCAGGCUAGAGUCUUGUAGAGGGGGGUAGAAUUCCAGGUGUAGCGGUGAAAUGCGUAGAGAUCUGGAGGAAUACCGGUGGCGAAGGCGGCCCCCUGGACAAAGACUGACGCUCAGGUGCGAAAGCG